ensembl:lncRNA
UGUCAUGUCUCAGCAAUACUGACCGUACCUUUACCCACAGUCCUCUAGUGUCAUGUCUCAGCAAUACUGACCGUACCUUUACCCACAGUCCUCUGCAGGAGAUCCUGGGAGGCCUGGGUUAGUCACACGUCUUACCCGAGGCUGAGAAGUGGGACAUCUUUCUCCUAGGCAGCUCUAAUAGAUCAGUGUCAGCUAGUCUGUAGAUGACCUUUAUUGCCAGUAUGAGCAAGGGUCCAGAUGUCAGCUGUCCCUGUGAAGUCUUAAAACCAGGAUGACAUUAUGGCAAUUCACAGCCUGAGUUCCGUUUAGACUGGCUGCCACCUAGCUUUAACAGUCUGUUUACAACUGCCACUGAGAACAUGACCGUGUCAAUGAACUCGAGACUUGUUUUGUUGAUCCAUGCCUUAUUUCUCUGUAAGGAUUCUCUGUUUUGAGAUUAGUUGCUUUUGUGAUUUUUCUGAGGGAACAGAUGGUACCAAGAAAUAAGUUUGGUUUCAUGAAUACUCCCGUUCAUCAAGGUAUUUUGCGAUCUCUAAUGGCAGGAGUGGUCUAUGAAGAGACACUUCCAAGCUGUAGGAGUGGUAUUAUACAGAUGCAGUUAGAUAGAAAUAUCGGCACCCUUGGACUACUAUGAAGCAGACUAUUCCCAGCUGGUUGAAUGUCUUUUCUACCCUGUAGUGAGCAGCUUAGCACAAGUAGGACACCUGCUCAGGCAGAUUGAGGCCUGAUGUGGCAACAAGGCCAGUGUACUUGAGUGCUUCCACCAUUUUAAUGGAGUUACUGGGUGGGGCUUACAGCUACAUUUGUCUGAUCACCCGGUUAAAAAUGUAGAUCUCUAAUGCUGCAUGUGUGCUCAAGGCCCCAUAAUGGGAACAGUAGGGGUGCCUGUUCUCUGUGGAUGAAUUAUGAUGGUUGAGAUGGACUUCCUUCCCGUCAAAUGUAUUUUAAGGAUCCCCCUGCUCCACACCUGGUUUCCACUUCUUUUAGAAUUUGGAAUGGCGGUGAUAUAUUUGAAUGCAUCUGUAUGUGUGAAUAUGGCUUUCACUGAAACUGGCAUUUUACAUCAACAUGGUCUUAGACCACGCUUAGCUUCAUUAAACAUCAGCAAUAUUUUAUGGCUACUUUUUUCUUUCAAGCUAAGUACACUCCUGUAUGCUGUUCCUGAAAAAUCACACAUUGUUC